CUGGUUGACCUCGGAUCAGGUAGGAAUACCCGCUGAACUUAAGCAAAAAAAA
rnacentral:rRNA from 1 species